rnacentral:rRNA from 1 species
UACAGAGGUCUCAAGCGUUGUUCGGAUUCAUUGGGCGUAAAGGGUGUGUAGGUGGCGCCGUAAGUCGGGUGUGAAAUUUCGGAGCUUAACUCCGAAACUGCAUUCGAUACUGCGGUGCUUGAGGACUGGAGAGAAGACUGGAAUUCAUGGUGUAGCAGUGAAAUGCGUAGAGAUCAUGAGGAAGACCAGUGGCGAAGGCGGGUCUCUGGACAGUUCCUGACGCUGAGGCACGAAGGCCAGGGGAGCAAACGGG